rnacentral:misc_RNA from 1 species
CUUGAAUGAGUAAUACAGGAGCUUUCCUAGCUCAUUUAUACUGCAGUUCCCACCACUUGGUAACUGCUUAAGUAACAAAUCCCUACAUCUCUAACUGAAAGUAACAACUCCAACAACUUCACCUGAAUACAGUAACAACUCUUAUCUAAAUUUGCCUCCAACCAGCUAAUUAACUACUUGCCUCCCUUCACAAUCAAUGAUAACCAAUCAUCUAAUUAACACACCAUUACCUGCCUUCUUCCUUUUCCUUUUCCUAUAAUAUGUAACAUAAUCUUACUUAUCCUUGUGUCAUGUGCUUAGGUUUUAUCUGUGUCCUUGAGCUACCUGAUCUAAAUUGAUAUGCUUUAGGGGAAUUGCAUGCUGUGUGGAUCAAAUACAUGAGCAUGGCACAGCAAAAACAUAUGUUGAGUUUAUAUGCUAUGCUCUCACUAGAACUUUAGCCUCCAUAAUAUAGCAGCAAAGGAAUUCAAGAAAUGUAGAUCUCUUGUUUUUGUGUUGGAAUAAUUUUUUCAGUGUGUGUCAUGUAGUAUGCUUAAUGCACUUUGAUGACAAGUUAGGGUGUGGAAUAGAAUGAUUAUAUGUCAAACUGAAUUAUUUUUUUGGGGUAUUUCCAGAGAAUGUGGAUGGAGGAACGAGGAUUUGCUACCCACAUCCCAUGAUCAAUGUGUUGUUUGUUUGGAGAGGACAUGCACAGUUGCUGCUGAAGGCAAGUUUCUUUUAAUAGCUAAAUAGUGUCCAAUAUUCCAUUAUAUUUGUGAGAGAAUUAAUGUCAUCAAACUUCAUAAUUUAUGAGAAAAAGACAGUUAAUUGAAUGCUAUCUUCAGAUCUAUAUUUUUUUAAGGUCAUCUACUAGUGCAUGGUUCAACAAUUAGGUUGUAGAUUUGGGCCAGAGAGCAGCCACUUUGCAAAAGAUGCUGAAGGGUAGGACUAUAUUGGGAUUCUGUUCUCAGAACUUCUCUUUGGUGCUAUUUUUAUUUACAUAUUAUGGCUCUGCAUCUAUUUAUUUAGGCUAAUAAUCUAAUAUUCGUAAACUUUUGUGAGCCCUUUCAGUUGCUUACAAGUUUUAUUUUAUCAAUUUGGUUUAUAGGUUACUUAUUUUCUUUCAAUUUGUAUCUAAUGGGUCAAGAGUGUGUGCAUAUGCGAAAGUUUUGUUGGAUGGAAGUCAAAUAUGUACACAAGUUGAUUGGAAGGAGUAGCCCCUCCUAAGCUCUAAAAGCCAUGACAUGUUGGCGCUUUGCAAAACUUGCUUUUCUCAUGAAGCUACUUAAAAUGCUUUUUUGGAUUCAUAUUUUGCAAAACACAUUUGUUGGCUCUCAGAUCUCAGGAGAGUGAAAGAAGUGGUCUGAUUGCAUUAGCAAUAAGGUGUUUGUUCUGUGUAGUGUCCUUGUUUACAUUUAAUUAGGUCACAAACUUAUAAUUGCAACACUAUAAUGAAGCAAUCUAGACUUAUUAUUAAUUUUUUUUUUGUUGAGCUGAUAAUGAACUUUACUCAAAUCUCCUAAGUGGCCUUAGAGUACAAGGUUAGACAAACGCAGCUUAAAGAGCAGAAAGGUUCGGUGUACGUGAAAAUUCAACAGUUGACUAAAUUAUGAGAAAGUGGAACCUUUAUUUUAUUUGGAAGGUGGUUGGAUAUCUGGCAUUGUAAAACUGAUUUGUAUGAGUUGCCCAUUGAAAGAGCUGCAAGUAAUACAAUUGGUGACGGGUAGUGUGAGAUUAUGGUACUUUUGUUGGUUUAACCUUAUGCUCUUUUGCUUUUAAUAAAUUAUUUGUGUCAACUCUCUCUCUCUCUCUCUCU